CCUCUUUUGCACAGUAGGCAGCGUCAGUCUUGAAAAAUGAAGGUCCUGAGUUCAAUCCUCAGAAGGAGGG
rnacentral:tRNA from 1 species